UUGAUCCCCGCUGCACGUUGACUUCCACCCAGAAUUGGAUUCAGUUUUCAGUUGAAUUCAGUUCAGUUUCAGUCUGAGUUUGAGUCGCGCUGAAGCAUGCUGCGUUUCUCGUGUGCUGCAGACAGUUCCGACGGCCUUCAAUUGCCAAAGGAAAGACGUACUCAUUGGAUAACGAAGAAGUUCAGCAGUUGACCAAAGAGUUUUGGCUGCUAUCUCUACGAGGGAAACUCGGAACGAGACCAGACAUGAACGGGUGUGGUGUGCAUCGUUCAUGCAAUCAAGGAAGUGCCUCUCCCAUACAAAUUGCCUCUCUCUCUCUCUCUCUCUCUCUCUCACUCUCCCUCUUCAGCAAUGAUGAGAGUCUGCUUUGUGUACGCGCAGCACGCGCCAACUUCCUAUAGCGAUCAAUCGAUUAAAUCGAGCAAUUCAGGUAGAAUUUUUAUGAUUUUCAAGAUUUGUAACUGUAAAACUGUAUUACUGUAUACUAUGAGUUGAGGAUCAAUAGAGUAUUUUGAAAUAAAUGAUUUUUAUUGAUUGAAGCAUUGAAUGUGAAUCAAUACACCAAGGUUAUAUUGACGGAAUUAUAUUUAAAGGAUUUACGAGUCGAAAACUUGUUGAAUUUGAACAUAGUUGUGGACUGACUAUGAGAUUAUUAUAGAUAUAAAUUCCCAAUCAAGUUUUCAAGAUUAAAAUUUUUAUUUCGGUAGUUAUAUAUCCUUGGUUAAAUAUUUGGUUAGUUUUUAUGUAACACAACUCAAGCAUAAUGCAGGUGAGUGUGGAUAGAUAGUAUAAGAAAACAUGAAAAUAGUGUGGUUAAUAAUUGGAGAUGCGGUAUAAAAGCACAAAAAUAUUUCAAAGCAUUUUCUAGCUGAAUUAUGAUAUAAUUAUGUGGAAAGGAGAUUUCCCGUCAUCAAAUUAUUGUCGAGAAGGUAGCGACUAAAAAUUAUACAAUUUUUCCGACUCGCUUGAUAAUUCUUAUUCUCCAAUAUAAUUUUCUAGUAUAUAUUUUUUCAAUUCCAAUCAUAAUUGAACAAGAAAAUAAUUUUUAUAAAGAUGAUAGACUACAUUUUCUUCUCAAUAUUCUGUUGAGAAAGUUUUGUAUGAAUGGUUAUUUAUUGUUAAAAAAAACUUGACCCCGACGUGAUUUGAACACGCAACCUUCUGAUCUGGAGUCAGACGCGCUACCGUUGCGCCACAGGGCCUUGUACAUAUCACUUUUAUACUAUUGUUUCAUUACAUUUAAGUACUAAUUCUUGUGCUAAUUUUUUGGAUAUUUAUUUUUGCAUUGAAAUUUGAGAAAAUUAGAUGCAGCCAAAUGAUAUUUUAUAUUGGAUUUUUUUACAUGAAAAAAAGUUUGAAUUAUUAAUGCAUGAAUUGAUUUAUAUUUUAAUAGAACUAUUUUCUUCUAAUUUCUAGUAGUUUUGUAAUUUCAUUUGAAGAAGGAGAACAGGAAAAAUGAUUUGAACAGGACAAUUGAUAUGGGAAGCUAUUAAAUAUGUAUAAUUAUUCUAAUCCAAUUUUAUUUUAGUCUACUUGGUGGAGACUCGAUUGUUUCUCCUUAACCCAUCCCUAUCACUCUUGUAAUAGUCAUCAUUCUAGCUCCAAAACUGUAAACAUUUGUGGGUUCCUAUAAUGAAUUACUAGUUUUUUUGGCAUAAUACAAAUCUCAAUUGAAUCUUGUGAAUCGAUUAUUAUGAAUGAAUGUUACAGUAUCUCAAGUUUUUUAUUUAUUGAUUAGUGACGUGAGAUUUCUCCUCUCAUGUCUUCACCGCAUGCUUCUUUCUGUUUCGUCUUUCUUUUCACAUUCAAAACCACUCACGUCACAAUGAUAGUCAUGAUUGUAAUAAUCUUGAUUUUGUUGCCUGGGAGAGCGUAGAAUACAUGAUGAUUUCACAUGUGGAUGUGUCAUUAGGCUAAAACUGCCAUAUUUCUCCAAAAAAAUUGGGAAACAUAUUAUGAAAAUUUAUUUAGUCAAAGUUCGGUUUACCAUAACACUAACAAACUGGCAGUAUUUUGAAGAAGUUCAAAAAUUGAAUGGAAUAUGUGUUUUUAUUAAUUGAUUUUACCGUAUUUGAAGAAGUAGUAAUUAUUAGAACCAAGCGUGUUUCCGAAAAUAGCGGCCAAAGUAUUUAGUGAGUUGAAACAUGAUGAAGUGAAGUGGCCUUGGAUUGGAGGGGCUGUGAGAACAGAGUGGUCCACAGAGCAGAGAGCAGAGCAGAGCAAUAGUGAAGAGAGGAAGGAGCCCAUAACAAUAUUACGGAGGUCAAGGCCUAGCCAGUUUAGCAGUUACUAGAUCUUACUCCACUCGUCAUCCAUUUACGAAACUCACAUAUCACCGAAAACACUGUGUGAAUGAACUUUCUCGACACUGAAUUCUACGACACUUGUUGAAUUCAUGAAUGAUAACUACUACUAAUGAUACUAAUUGAUAACUACAACUAAUGAUAGACUACUUUUUAUACUAAAUAAUUUUGUACUUGAAUAUGUAUGCUUCCUUCGAAAAUUACCACCACGAUCAGGAAAUAAAAAUAGUAUUAUAAAUUACUUAGAUUUUAUAUGAAUGAAAACUACUUGUGAUUAUCAAAACCUCUGAGUAUUUAAAAGUAAACGAUUCUCAAAUGUUUCAGUUGUUACAGCAUUAUCAAUCUCUAGUAAAUAAAACAGAAAAUCGUUAGCUACAGUGAUGAGAGCUUUUAUUAGAUCAUUGGAGAUUUCCAAAAAAUAGUAUUAUCAUUUUUAUUUUAUUUUUUAAAUAAAAAGUAUAGAACUAAUUUUGGAAAUUGUAAGAACAUGAAAAUGACAUUAUGAAUACAUGUCAUUUCAUUAGUAAUCGCCUAGUUCUACUGUUUUUUUUUUUGGUGGAAUUUAAUUUAUUUCAAUACAUUUCACUGCGUCAUCCUGCAUUAUUAAAAAAGGGAAAAUUCUGUAAUUAUAUUUUUAAUAAUUUUGGAUCCUUGUAAUUAGUGCUUAAUUUCGCUUCACUAGAACUGACUCUGAAUACCUUACCUAAUCAUAUUAUAUUAAGUUGAGUAAGAAUGGAGAAAAUAAGAAGAGUUUGUCUAAGGAUGUUGGGUGGUUUUACUCGGGUUUCGUCCCAAGUUCUUUGACCUGUUCAAUUUCGAAAUCGAAUUACUAUUGCUUGAAUGGCUCGGUUGCAAUAUGAAACCUCUUCCUGUCCAUUCACUGUUGCCCAACACUCUUCCUCGCUUCUUGUACACAAAGUAACCCUUCCUAUUUGAAUCACAAUCACACAAUUUGUAUAACAAGAGCUUGUGGCUACAAAAUGAAAAUUUCAUAACUAAUGUAUAUUAACUAAUGCCUGUGCUACGAAGUGUAUUCUAUCAAGCGAAAGAUAGGGCUUAGCACAGUUUUCAUAGGGGGCUCUACAUACUGUUCUAAUGCUUUAAGGGCUUGUUGCUAUAUUGUACCAACUUGUAUAUUUUGUACUGAAAUAGUACUUAAGAUCAGAUACCGGAGGCCUACAUUUAGACUCUAAUGAAGAUGUUUUUGUUUUGUUUUUAUUAUGUCACCUUUCAACAUUUAGUGAAAUACCAGAAUGUAAUGCCGUUUAUCGUUAAUGAUAACAUCAAACGCAAUCCAAGAUGAAAGAGUCAAAAAACAGUAAAAGACUGGAAUAACAUUGAGAAUCCUCCACAUACCAAGAUGCGUUGGCAUAGAUAUCAUGCAUGGAUAAUCAGUGUGAUUUGAUCAUGUUUCUGACUUAAAUUGGUAUUGUGGACUAUAUUCAUAUGUGUAUUAUGGAUAUGGGUUCUAUUUAGAUAUUUCAAUUAUCUUUAGAAUCUUAAGGUCUUUUGUAUAAAUUUUUUCACUAUAAUGAAUAUGUUUGAAUGAACGGAUUCAAGAAACCAAAGAUUCAAAGAACACCACACGUCAACCGGAGCUUAUUGUGUGUCAGUUUAUGAAUAACUUUUCCAGUUAUUUAAUAAUUUGUAAACAUGUACAGUAAGCCACAGUAAUUUGCUAAUUCAUCAUGAAAUAAUCCUAUAACAAGAAUCAAUUUUAUAUUUCACAUUGUUAUUGCUUAAAGUUUUUAGUUAUAUAGGCUGUAUCCUGUAUCCUCUACCUUGUAAUCCUGUCCAGAGACUUUUAAUAAGAUAAUUCCAAUUUAUUAUAUAUUAUUUUUGGAGCUUUAAGCAUUCUGAUUUUCUACUAAUUCAUUAUUUCUUUUUAAUCUUAGAAUAAAUAAAAUACAAUUGGGAACAGGCAACAGACUGAGUUCAUAAAUUCAGAAUAAUUAUUGAUGGAUAAAAUCUCAGGUGCCUUAUUUGUGAGAAGCUAUACCAAUUAUUAUUCAUUGAUUGGCAUAUUUCCAUCAUCAAUUCAAUUUUAAAUGAAAUGAACAAAUUCUAACGAAAAUGUGCUAAUCGAUUUAAACUCACCGAAUAGUAUAACUGAAGUCACUAUCAAUAUAGACUAUUACCAUUCCUCAGUCAAUUUUUCUCCUCAGUAUUGUGUUGAUCCCGUCUGAGAAUGACAUCUGUUUCAUAAAAAAUAUGCCAAGGACGUAAGAUAAAAGGAAGUAGCUAUUUGUGGAGCCAAGCUGGGCAACAUUUGGUGUCUUGAAAGUAUAUGGGCUGAGGGAUCUUUGGAAUUAACAUUAUUCAGGCUACAAUAACUUAAUAUUAACAUUUCACCAAUAAAUUAUAUGAAUUGUAAAUGUCUAGAAUUAAUAUGCUUUACUAUAUAGACAUUUCUGUUGGUAGUAGCUAAGUAUGAAACUAGAUGACAGAUGAUGACGUAGAUGACUAUACUAGAUGACGGAUGAGUCAACCUACAGAUUAAUUGAUGAUUCCUACAAAUCUCUAUCACCAAAAUUAUUGUUGGACUUUUGGAAUGAGAAACUGUUGGCUAUUGGAAUAAGUAAUUGAAUUCUACUUCAUGGUGAUUGGUCGUGAAAAGAAAGAAGGGAACCAGCGAAAUAAAAGUUGUUGUUCCAAUUCUUGGGGAUCUGCUGUGGUGUUGACUGACUGCGGGGUAUUCAGCAUUCAGCCAGCUUGUAUUCAAAAUGUCCGAUAAUUCUAUAGUUCAAAUACAACAAUACAACUUUGAAUGAGAAACUGGGACUUGCUUUCACAAACUGAAUGAAUACACACCCUCUGAAUAAAUAGA